rfam:Loa loa cont3.8028, whole genome shotgun sequence.
GCCUUCCUAGCUCAGUUGGUAGAGCAUCAGACUUUUAAUCUGAGGGUCGUGGGUUCAAGUCCCACGGAGGGCG